rnacentral:rRNA from 1 species
UACGUAGGGGGGCAAGCGUUGUCCGGAAUCAUUGGGCGUAAAGAGCGUGUAGGCGGCUCGAUAAGUCUGCUGUGAAAAGUCCAGGGCUCAACCCUCGGAUGCCGAUCGAUACUGUCGGGCUAGAGUCCGGAAGAGGCGAGUGGAAUUCCUGGUGUAGCGGUGAAAAUGCGCAGAUAUCAGGAGGAACACCAAUGGCGAAGGCAGCUCGCUGGGGACGGUACUGACGCUGGAGGCGCGAAAAGCGUGGGGGGAGCAAAACAGG